AGCAGCCGCGGUAAUUCCAGCUCCAAUAGCGUAUAUUAAAGUUGUUGCAGUUAAAAAAGCUCGUAGUUGAAUUUCGGGAUCAAUAUGUUGGUCGUGCCUCGGUACGUACUAGCUUAUUGGUUUCUCCUUUCUGAAGAACCAUGAUGUCAUUUAUUUGGUGUCGUGGGGAAUCAGGACUGUUACUUUGAAAAAAUUAGAGUGUUUAAAGCAGGCUCACGCUUGAAUACAUUAGCAUGGAAUAAUGAAAUAGGACGUUUGAUUCUAUUUUGUUGGUUUCUAGGAUCGACGUAAUGAUUAAUAGGGAUAGUUGGGGGCAUUAGUAUUCAAUUGUCAGAGGUGAAAUUCUUGGAUUUAUUGAAGACUAACUACUGCGAAAGCAUUUGCCAAGGAUGUUUUCAUUAAUCAAGAACGAAAGUUAGGGGAUCGAAGACGAUCAGAUACCGUCGUAGUCUUAACCAUAAACUAUGCCGACUAGGGAUCGGAUGAUGUUAAUUUUUAAUGUACUCAUUC
rnacentral:misc_RNA from 1 species